AGGAAUGCGCCCGUUUUUUGCCGUUAAAUGUUGCAGCCUAAUUUUGGAUCGAGAAUUAAGUGCGACGAAGAUGGCCGUUAAUAAUAGUUCUACUACUUUAAGAACACGGUUCAGAUUUGGAUAACGACUUCGAAGGCAUUCGCAGGAGACCAAACAGAGAAAGAGAGGGAGACACAAAACCACCUGUCUCGGUGUCACACAUGAGGAGUUGAGGAGGAGACGAAGUCAGUGAAUAUGACCUGGCCUGGGGGAGUUUCCAGAAGAAGGCCCAGAAUCGCUGGAUGCCAGGAGUGGAGAUCCUUCGUUGCUGCCCUACAUGAUAGGAGGCAUCGGGCAGUAGAUGCUGUAAUUUGAAACGGAAGGUGUCCUGCCAAUAUUUUUUCAUCCCACCUGAACUGCCUUGCCUGCCUGCACCCAGUCAUCUGUUCCUGAGCAUUUUCAUUUUCCUCUAUUUUUCAUCAUCGUUUGUUUCGGCCUGUAUGAAGUGAAUUUCACAUUGAUUGGUGGAGCUGCUAAGUUGGCAUUACAGGGCCACGCCGGGUUAUGAUCCUUUGGGUUGAACAUCAUGACUGCUAGUUGGUCGGCAAAGGUGAUGGGAUCGAUCAAUGUCACAUGGAGUAAGAUCGAUACCAAUCUGCUUUGCUACAUUUCGAACAAUCUCAUACGGAUACGGAUAUUAUUGCGACAGGAGUACUGCUCGAUGUGGUCAAGCCUAUUUGACAAAGCAUUAUGGUGUUAGUCAUGUUAUCAGAAACCGAUUUUUCAAAAUCACGGAGUUGCUUCAAUUUAGUAUCGAUAGAUAUUUCAAGAACGUGUAGACUAGUGAGCUUUUCAUCAAGAACUUCACGCAAUUUAUUUUCGCGCUUAUCCAUGUCAUCAUUGAGUUUUUGUCUCUCGCGUUCCAUUUCCACGGCCACCGCUCUUUGAACGACUGUAUCAAUAUGAUCUAGGUAUGCUGGGCUUUGUUUAGAUCCAGUUAAUGAUGAAGCAGAGGAUUGUGUACAUGCGUUAGCCGAGUGCAAGCGGCCUCUUGAUCUGGUGGAUAUCUUAGACAUGUUAGAGAUUACGUGAUAUAAUAUAAUGAUAUAAUUGAAAAGUGGGAUGGGCUGUGCAUCUGCCAACUCACCAGUCAACCAAUUAGAGACGGCCUUCCAAAGUGACACAGCACGAAAAUAUCAAUAUGGGACUGGUCUAGUCAACACAUAGAUCCUGAAAAAAACCAUGGAGACCGCAGACGCAAAAUGACUUCCAUACAUAAAGAUAUGAUGCACAAUCUCCUGUGGGUUCAAAACACUGAACACAUGCUAUGCUGAUACACAGACUAUCAUAAGAACUUUAUCAAGCAAAGGAAAUCUGGUAUGAAAUCUCUCAGCUCACAUAAAAAGCCUACGUAGCUACAUGUAGGGAAGAAAAUGCGUAAUUUGCUGAGAAAUGAGCAAAAUAAGCAUGUAAUUCUAUCAAAUGUCAGGUAUUUUUCGAAUCGAUUAUAAUACACUGUCCCACAUAUGCUUUUCUGUGUUUACAGCGAUCAUCAGAAUUAUUGAUUUUAAGUAAAAAAAUUCAUGAUUUUACAAAGAUAAAAGUUUACAUUAAUGUACCAGAUGUAGAUUAUGUACAAUAUAUUGACAAUUAACUUUGAUUUUAUAGAUUUUCUCAAGAAAUAAUUGUUUGCUGCAACUACUGUCUUUUCCUUCUAAGUGAUAGUGUAAUACAACAGUUCCACAAACUAUUUUCAUCAGACUUAUUGAUGCAUGAUUCUUUCACCCAAAUGCAAGCUUCCAUAAAUCCUGAAAACUUUGCAACUCAGGUAUUUUUUUUUUUACAUACAGUAUAUUUUUUCCUACAUUACAUAGUUGCCUUAAGUUAAUAGCGCACCUCUAGUAGUAACUAUCUUAAAAUGAGUUCGAACAGAAUCCAACAGAAUUACCAGCAAAGUGUAUGUAUAUAUAAAAGAUGUGUGCCAAAAAGCUCGGGAAGAAAAUGUGUUAUUGCUGAGAAAUGAGCAAAAUAAGCAUGUAAUUUUAUCAAAUGUCGGGUAUUUUUCAAAUCAAUCAUAAUACACUGUCUUGUCCCACAUAUGCUUUUCUGUGUUAGUGAUCAUCAGAAUUAUUGAUUUUAAGAUCAAAAUUCAUGAUUUUACAAAGAUACAAGUUUACAUUAAUUUACCAGGGCCCCGUCUUACAAAGAGUUAUGAUUGAUCCGAUCAAUCGCAACUAUGGACGGUCAGCAACGUUAACAUCUAUUAAGCAUGUUUGUUCAAAAUAUUUUCUAGCUAUGAUGUAUGUUCAUGCAUUCAUUGUUUUUUCAAAAAUUCGCUGCGUUUCUCUUUGCAUACAAAGGACAUUGUGCAAAUUUUUCGUAGAAAAAAAAUUAUGACACUGAUGGAUUUCCAUAGAGUUAUGAUUGAUCGGAUCAAUCGUAACUCUUUGUAAGACAGGGCCCAGAUCUAGAUUAUGUACAAUAUUUUGACAAUUAACCUUAAUUUAAAAGACUUUCCGAAGAAAUAAUUGUUUGCUGCAACUACUGUCUUUUACCCCUGGCCCUAAGUGAUAGUGUAAUACAACCCAAACAUUUCAUAAGAAUUAAUGUACAUGUAUGAUUCUUUCACCCAAAUGCGAGCUUCCAUAAAUCCUGAAACUAUUCCAACUCGGGUAUUUUUUUUUUACAUACAGUAUAUAUUUACCUACAUUACAUAGUUGUCUAAAGCUGAAGGUAUAUUUAAUUACAAUUUCAACGAAAAAGCUUUAUUCUUGGAGAUCAUUAUGCCUCUGUUAUGUAUUAAUGUGUAUUUAUACAUGUACAAUUGUAUGUAUUGGUAUAACAAACAUUGUAAUUUCAUUCCUUUGACCCUAAUACUGCAUUUUCAUAGAAAAGUGUUUUUUUUUCAAUCUAUUUAGAGUUUUCAACAUUUUGUAUUCCUUUUUUUUUUGCUGGUAAUAUGUUAUGCAACUUUUAUUUAUUAAUAGAAUAUUUGCCACGAUUUCGUAAUU